GGACAGAAAUUCAGAAGACUGCACUGGAGUUAAAUUAGCUGAGCAGUUAAGGAAUAUGUUUUCAAUCACUGCGGUUUUCUGCCAAAAUAUGUUUGGAUAGGGAUUUUCAGCCUUAAUGCAGCUGAAUUGUCUUUGAGAAGGCAUCACGAAAACAUGGAAGUUGGAGUUUUGCAGUUUGAAGGACCGACAAAGGGAUUAUAUGGGCCAAUGGGUUCGUGACCCUUCCUUGUUGCCGACUGCAAUUUUGUACAUUGAUGAAUCCUCCUUACCACGAAGCAGUGAAUAAAUGGACUAGACAUCUCCUUCUGUAGGGAAACAUCCUGGUGACAAAAAGAAAGAACAGAGCAUCUCAGGAAGACAUUCGGGAAAAGCCAGCUGCAGGUACAUGAAGAGUGAGAAGCCUCACCCAAGAUGACUCCAAUGCUGGAGAGGACAACAGAAUGCCUGCCAUGGGGGGCUGUACUGGAGAGGGACAUAGCUGCCAAUUCAUUGCCUGCUGGAGCCUCUGGAGGAACCUGGGGAGUUCUGGAUGAUUCCUGCUGUGAGUUGUUCAUCUCAUGGAUGUUAUCGCUGUGAGUACACAGUAUUGCAUAGGAUGCCAGAGCUUGGCUCUCUCUUGUGUACAAACUAAUCUUCUCAAAUAGAAGCUUUUCCUAUUGCUUAGUUGCACAGGCAUAUUGAUGGCAGUUGUAACAAGUGAUUGCUGGGUGGGACUGAGCAUAGCCCUGUUACGUCCUUUCAGACGGUCCUUUCUAGCACAUUAACCUCAACUUGAGGGCUUGUAUUUUUUUGUCUGCUGAACAACAUUAGUGUUGGCUUCUGAUUAUAAAAUGUUUCAUAAAUCAUCUCCUUUCAGCUGCGUUUCAGAGCCAGUGCUAUUUCACCUUUACAGUUUCUUGAAGCUCCCCAUGAAGUACAUUAAUUUUUCAUUAAAGAAAAAAGGCUGUAUUUUUUUUCCAGAAUAAAUGAAUUUUAUAAUUCCAAAAUAUCUUGUCUAAUGAUCGCCAUCCAGCCAUUUAAAAUAAAGUCUUCGGGGACAGAUGUCUUCAUCACUGAGCAAACUUUAAAUUGAUUUUCCACUUUCGUUGUAAGAUUAAGUUAGAGAGAAGCAAAGACUGUGUUUCAGUACUGAUAUGCUCCCGACAUGUACUGUCAAAGUCUGCACUUGCCAUUCUUUUGGUGGGAAUAGCUGCUUUAGAAAUGUUUAUAUAUUAUCAAAAUUAGGUUUCAAAAUGAGCUACAGUAUCUAUAUAAAGGGGAAUAAUAUUAUUUUAGAGAAACUAAUUGGAAACUUGUUUUUUGGCUAAAGUAGUUAUUAUUUCCAUUAUGGCAAGCUGGAAGUAGAUGAAAUUCACCUUUAUCUUUCCUAGCCUGGUGUCUCCAAUAAUUUAUUCAAACUGAAAUUAAAACCUGACACAGUCCCAGUGAGGCAUUUCACACCAGUUAAAGAUUAUUCUGCUGUAAAAGAACUUUUGUUCAAAAAUUUCAUUAUGUUAUUACGAAUGUAUGUAUUAUAGAAGGGUGAUACAUAAAUCAAAAGCUAUCUGUUCUCGUGUGUGUGUGUGUGUGUGUGUGUGUGUGUGUGUAUAUAUAUCCCCCUAACAGGACCUAAAACUGUAUUUUCUUUCCUAGGAACGUAAAAUUUUAAGAUAAGAACCACUGUUUCAUAUACCAGGGAGGGAAUGCCUGUGGAAAAUAUCUGCAGGAAAGCAGAAUAUUCAGCACCAACUGGAGCCUUGCAAGCCCCAGUGCAUACAGAGGCAGAGUCCAGUUGGGCAUGUGCAAGAAAGAAGGGCAGAAUCACCAUAAAAUCACAGAAUGGCUUAGGUUGGAGGAGAACUUAAAGAUCAUCCAGUUCCAAUCCCCAUGCUAUGGUCUGGUUGCCCCCCAGCAGCUCAUGCUGCCCAGUGCCCAUCCAGCCUGGCCUUGAAUGUCUCCAGUGAUGGGGCAUCCACAAAUUCUUUGGGCAGCCUGUGCCAGUGCCUCACCAUCCUCUGAGAAAAGAAUUUCUUCCUAAAAUCUGUCCAGAAUCUCCUCUCCAGUAGGUUCAAGCCAUUCCCCCUAGUCCUAUCACUAUCAAACAGUGUAAAAAGUUGGUCCCCCUCCUUCUUGUAAGCUCCCCUCAAGUAUUGGAAAGCUGCAACGGUGUCUUCCUGGAGCCUUCUCUUC